UACGUAGGCAGCGAGCGUUGUUCGGAGUUACUGGGCGUAAAGGGUGUGUAGGCGGUUGUUUAAGUUUGGUGUGAAAUCUCCCGGCUCAACUGGGAGGGUGCGCCGAAUACUGAAUGACUAGAGUGUGGGAGAGGUGAGUGGAAUUCCUGGUGUAGCGGUGAAAUGCGUAGAGCUCGGGAAGAACAUCGGUGGCGAAAGCGCUCUACUGGACGACAACUGACACUCAGGGACGGAAGCUAGGGGAGCGAAUGGG
rnacentral:rRNA from 1 species